rnacentral:rRNA from 1 species
CUACGGGCGGCACCAGUUACGAAAACUUCGCAAUGCGCUAACGCGUGACGAGGGAACUUGGAGUGUUCAUGCUUUGCAUGAACUUUUGUCCACUGCAAAAAGGUGGACGAAUAAGGGGUGGGUAAGACGAGUGCCAGCCGCCGCGGUAAUACUCGCGCCCCGAGUAGUAUCCACGUUUAGUGGGUUUAAAGCGUCCGUAGCCGGUUUGAUAAGUCCCUAGUGAAAUCCUUUGGUAAACUGAAGGGCUUGCUGGGGAUACUAUUGGACUUGGGACUGGGAGAGGGUAGAGGUACUCCCGGGGGAGGGGUAAAAUCCUAUAAUCCUGGGGGGACCACCUGUGGCGAAGGCUUCUAUCUAGAACAGGUUCGACGGUGAGGGACGAAAGCUAGGGGAGCGAUUGGGAUUAGAUACCCCCGUAGUC